UACGAAGGGUGCAAACGUUGCUCGGAAUUAUUGGGCGUAAAGCGCACGUAGGCGGCUUUGUAAGUCGGAUGUGAAAUCCCUCGGCUUAACCAAGGAAGUGCAUCCGAAACUACAGAGCUUGAGUACUUAAGAGGAUCGCGGAAUUCCCGGUGUAGAGGUGAAAUUCGUAGAUAUCGGGAGGAACACCUGUGGCGAAGGCGGCCCCCUGGUUGGAUACUGACGCUGAUACGCGAAAGCGUGGGGAGCAAACAGG
rnacentral:rRNA from 1 species